GACGUGCCCUCGGGGAAGACCUGCUGGGUGACCGGCUGGGGUGACAUUGGACGUGGAGAACCACUGCCCUGGCCCUUCAGCUUGCGGUAGGUGAGGGUGAAGGUCAGGAGCAACGUCCUCUGUAACCAGAUCUAUUGCUGCCACUUUCCUUCCAACCACACUGAGCCGUCUGAGCAGCUCAUCAAGGAUGACAUGCUGUGUGCCAGGGACGGGAACCACGGCUCCUGCCUGGGCGACACCGGGGGCCCCCUCGUGUGCAGGUGGAACUGCACCUGGGUCCAGGUGGGGGUGGUGAGCUGGGGAACCUUCUGCGGUCAUGGCGAUGCCCCCGGCGUGUACGCCCGCGUGAUGAGCUACAUGUCCUGGAUCCGCCAGCACGUCCCUCCCUUCCCUGGGGCUGCAGGGGCGUUCACAUGAUGGAGGAGACCCCGCCUUCCUUGUGGACGCCCUCCGCCCCUCCCCGGUUCCAGCCUCACUAUCCUGGCACCCAGUGGUCCUCCACCUGGGACCCACAUUUCUGCUGCCCUUUCCUGUCUCUCAUCCCGUCCCGUCCUUCUCGAGGGAGAGGUCUGGGCGCCUCUGUAGGCUGGUGUCUCCAGGAAGGCGGGUGUGCGUGGGGAGCAGAGGCACCGGCUCUCCUGCCUCCUGCCCGGCCUGGCCCUUGACUCUGAUUAAACUGUGCGUAAAGCAGC